rnacentral:rRNA from 1 species
UACGUAGGGUGCAAGCGUUGUCCGGAAUCAUUGGGCGUAAAGCGCGCGCAGGCGGCCCGAUAAGUCCGCUGUAAAAGUCAACGGCUCAACUGUUGAAAGCCGGUGGAUACUGUCGGGCUAGAGUACGGAAGAGGCAAGUGGAAUUCCUGGUGUAGCGGUGGAAUGCGCAGAUAUCAGGAGGAACACCUAUAGCGAAGGCAGCUUGCUGGGACGUUACUGACGCUAAGGCGCGAAAGCGUGGGGAGCGAACAGG